ACCGUUCUCGAACUCAAACUAUA
rnacentral:siRNA from 1 species